CAAGGCCUUGCGCUCUUUGAGCGGCCGAUGUCAGAUUAGCUAGUUGGUGAGGUAAAGGCUUACCAAGGCGACGAUCUGUAGCGGGUCUGAGAUGAUGAUCCGCCACACUGGAACUGAGACACGGUCCAGACUCCUGCGGGAGGCAGCAGUGGGGAAUUUUGGACAAUGGGGGCAACCCUGAUCCAGCCAUGCCGCGUGAGUGAAGAAGGCCUUCGGGUUGUAAAGCUCUUUCGGCCGGGAAGAAAUCGCAUGGGCCAAUACCCUGUGUGGAUGACGGUACCGGAAUAAGAAGCACCGGCUAACUACGUGCCAGCAGCCGCGGUAAUACGUAGGGUGCGAGCGUUAAUCGGAAUUACUGGGCGUAAAGCGUGCGCAGGCGGUUUUGUAAGACAGGCGUGAAAUCCCCGGGCUUAACCUGGGAACUGCGUUUGUGACUGCAAGGCUAGAGUACGGCAGAGGGGGGUGGAAUUCCACGUGUAGCAGUGAAAUGCGUAGAGAUGUGGAGGAACACCAAUGGCGAAGGCAGCCCCCUGGGUCGAUACUGACGCUCAUGCACGAAAGCGUGGGUAGCAAACAGGAUUAGAUACCCUGGUAGUCCACGCCCUAAACUAUGUCAACUAGGUGUUGGGUGGGUAAAACCAUUUAGUACCGUAGCUAACGCGUGAAGUUGACCGCCUGGGGAGUACGGCCGCAAGGUUAAAACUCAAAGGAAUUGACGGGGACCCGCACAAGCGGUGGAUGAUGUGGAUUAACUCGAUGCAACGCGAAAAACCUUACCUACCCUUGACAUGCCAGGAACUUGCCAGAGAUGGCUUGGUGCCCGAAAGGGAGCCUGGACACAGGUGCUGCAUGGCUGUCGUCAGCUCGUGUCGUGAGAUGUUGGGUUAAGUCCCGCAACGAGCGCAACCCUUGUCGUUAAUUGCCAUCAUUUAGUUGGGCACUUUAACGAGACUGCCGGUGACAAACCGGAGGAAGGUGGGGAUGACGUCAAGUCCUCAUGGCCCUUAUGGGUAGGGCUUCACACGUCAUACAAUGGUCGGUACAAAGGGUUGCCAAGCCGCGAGGCGGAGCCAAUCCCAGAAAGCCGAUCGUAGUCCGGAUUGCAGGCUGCAACUCGCCUGCAUGAAGUCGGAAUCGCUAGUAAUCGUGGAUCAGCAUGUCACGGUGAAUACGUUCCCGGGUCUUGUACACACCGCCCGUCACACCAUGGGAGCGGGUUCCGCCAGAAGUAGGUAGCCUAACCGCAAGGGGGGCGCUUACCACGGCGGG
rnacentral:rRNA from 1 species